rnacentral:antisense_RNA from 1 species
GCAGUAAGGUGCUGUCUAUGAACCAGGAAGCAGACCCUCACCAGAUGCUGAAUGUGCUGGCACCUUGGACUUCUCAGCCUCCAGAAAUGCAGAUGGCAAGACCCAAGGAGAUGGAGGAGCCACACAACUGAAAGAGAUGAGGUUCCUGAAUCACCACAUGAAGGGAAGCGGCCACUGAUUAGAAAUAUCUGCCUCUUUCCUAAGGAUAAGUAAAGAGGGAAUGGAUGCCACAUGGUUGUAGCUGCCUAAAAGCUAAGAAGGGGUCAUGGGGUAACAGGAAAUACCAAGGAAAAAUAAUAAUCGAUCCAGAGAAAAGGAAAGAAGAAUGGACUUGAAACCCUCCUGAGGCUCUAAUGAUGGUGACUCUGCAAGGCUGAGAGCAGAGAUUUACAUAUUUGCUGUCAAGGUGAAGGUACCACAAUGCGGAUGCCAUCUGGCAGGCACCUGGGUGGCUGACAUGCAGCAUCAAGUGACUAUCAUGAAAAUUAGCCAAGCUGGGCCCUGGUACUUCAUUGCUACCUGGUGUGACGGUGGACACCCAACAUCCACACCCUGGCUCCCAGUCUCCCCACCUUUAAAAUGGAUUUGAUCUCCAGAUUGCUAUAUUUGUGUCCAUAUAUAAAGGAAAAAUGUGGUGAUGGACUAACCAAUUAUGGGAUGAGGAUCUGCAGGCUUUAUUUACUACUAAAAUGUUUAUUUCAUCUGUUGAUUAUCUGCAGCAUGGCCACCUUGCAGUUAGUCACUGGAGUCCUCUCAGAAUAGG